UGGAGUUUCUUUUUCUUUAUGUCUAC
rnacentral:piRNA from 1 species